UGUAUAUGUAUACUGGUCAGGUGGUUCAACUCCUUGAUGAAAUUAUUCUGGAGCUGUCACAUGGGUUCAAUCAGUCUUGAACAGGUGUGAUUGUACUACUACUGUCGAUCUAAAAAACAUAGGAGCGGGGAAAAUGAUUUGUCAUUUAUCGUUGCAUUUUUUUCGAUCAUCAUCUUCUCAGUGUCACUUCCACACAAUUUAUUACGAUUAUAUUCAGACGAAUAAUGCUCCGUUAUAAGUUCAAUUAUGUUUUUUUGUAGUAUUCACUCCACGUUCAUUAAAAAAACACAAAUUGAAUAACAAAAGAACUCAAGUCUGAGAAUCUUAUUCAUUAAACCAAUUUUCUAACCUCCAAACGUGCUCCGAAAUGAUUUAAAGGGCCCGGAGUGGGAAGUGGUGGGGGGAGUACCUCUCGGUAAGACAGACCCGAUAAACAUUAUUUAUUAUCAGUUGAAAAAAUGAACGGAUGAAUUUGGUGUCGGGCCACCUUUGACCACCACAGGAUUCUAUAUAUAAAUUCAUAUGUUGAAUUUUUCAAAAACAUGCAUCCUUCCCGCUGGCUUCAGGCAACCAGGGAAGCUGGAAGAGAUACCUAAAUGGACACGUCGUAGACAUCAAUACCCAGAUGGCUAUUCAAAAGGAAAAAAUCAUUGAAAUCUGGAACGGAGGAAGAGAGAUUUAAAACAAAGCACAAAAAUUGUGGCUGAGAUGGAUACUCGCCAACGUCCAGUCUAAAAAAACGAACAAAAAAUGAUGAUAAAAAAACAACAUUUAGAAAUAAUGCAGGAAUAAAAACGAUUGAGUGUAA